GAUGAACGCUGGCGGCGUGCCUAAUACAUGCAAGUCGAGCGAACAGACGAGGAGCUUGCUCCUCUGACGUUAGCGGCGGACGGGUGAGUAACACGUGGAUAACCUACCUAUAAGACUGGGAUAACUUCGGGAAACCGGAGCUAAUACCGGAUAAUAUAUUUAACCGCAUGGUUCAAUAGUGAAAGACGGUUUUGCUGUCACUUAUAGAUGGAUCCGCGCCGCAUUAGCUAGUUGGUAAGGUAACGGCUUACCAAGGCAACGAUGCGUAGCCGACCUGAGAGGGUGAUCGGCCACACUGGAACUGAGACACGGUCCAGACUCCUAAGGGAGGCAGCAGUAGGGAAUCUUCCGCAAUGGGCGAAGGCCUGACGGAGCAACGCCGCGUGAGUGAUGAAGGUCUUCGGAUCGUAAAACUCUGUUAUUAGGGAAGAACAAAUGUGUAAGUAACUAUGCACGUCUUGACGGUACCUAAUCAGAAAGCCACGGCUAACUACGUG
rnacentral:rRNA from 1 species